CUCCAGACUCCUACGGGAGGCAGCAGUGGGGAAUAUUGCACAAUGGGGGAAACCCUGAUGCAGCGACGCCGCGUGAGCGAUGAAGUAUUUCGGUAUGUAAAGCUCUAUCAGCAGGGAAGAAAAUGACGGUACCUGACUAAGAAGCCCCGGCUAACUACGUGCCAGCAGCCGCGGUAAUACGUAGGGGGCAAGCGUUAUCCGGAUUUACUGGGUGUAAAGGGAGCGUAGACGGCAGUGCAAGUCCGGAGUGAAAGCCCGGGGCUCAACCCUGGGACUGCUCUGGAAACUGUAAAGCUGGAGUGCGGGAGGGGCAGGCGGAAUUCCUGGUGUAGCGGUGAAAUGCGUAGAUAUCAGGAGGAACACCGGCGGCGAAGGCGGCCUGCUGGACCGUAACUGACGUUGAGGCUCGAAAGCGUGGGGAGCAAACAGGAUUAGAUACCCUGGUA
rnacentral:rRNA from 1 species